GAACGGGUGAGUAAUACAUCGGAACGUGCCUAGUAGUGGGGGAUAACUACUCGAAAGAGUGGCUAAUACCGCAUGAGAUCUACGGAUGAAAGCAGGGGAUCGCAAGACCUUGUGCUACUAGAGCGGCCGAUGGCAGAUUAGGUAGUUGGUGGGAUAAAAGCUUACCAAGCCGACGAUCUGUAGCUGGUCUGAGAGGACGAUCAGCCACACUGGGACUGAGACACGGCCCAGACUCCUACGGGAGGCAGCAGUGGGGAAUUUUGGACAAUGGGCGCAAGCCUGAUCCAGCAAUGCCGCGUGCAGGAUGAAGGCCUUCGGGUUGUAAACUGCUUUUGUACGGAACGAAAAGCCCUGGGUUAAUACCCUGGGGUCAUGACGGUACCGUAAGAAUAAGCACCGGCUAACUACGUGCCAGCAGCCGCGGUAAUACGUAGGGUGCGAGCGUUAAUCGGAAUUACUGGGCGUAAAGCGUGCGCAGGCGGUUUUGUAAGACAGAGGUGAAAUCCCCGGGCUCAACCUGGGAACUGCCUUUGUGACUGCAAGGCUAGAGU
rnacentral:rRNA from 1 species